AUGGACUCUCGAUUACCACUGGAACUGUGCUCGGAGUGUGCGAGUGUGCGGGGGGGGGCACAGGGCUGCAGUGCAGAGGAGUCUGCUGUAUCCUGUUUUUGUAAAGGGCUUUUCCUCUUAGUAGUCGUAGUGAAAACAAACAUGUGGGAGAACAAUGGGAUUUUUUUUUUCUGUUUUCCUCUACAUUUUUUAAAUACAAUAAAAAAGCCUAUUAAAAUUAAAUAAAGCACGUUAACAGAAAAGGGAUACCUAUAUGUUAAUGAGGAAAAUAAGCGUAACUAUGUGAACAUGCAAUCACAAGCACAAAGGUCAUUUGCCUUCCUGAUCUCAGCGUGUAUUUUUGCAGUUGAAAGCCUAUUCAUUAAAUACCUUGUGAAAACAGGGUACUGGUAAAGCAGAACAAUGCCUGUGCCCUAAAGCUGUUAUCUGUAAUAAAGGCGGGUCAGCUUCACACCCCAGAGAAACACCCUCGCGCCGCUGCAGGACUUUGCAGUCUUCUGAGUCGUCAUCUCAGCAGGGAGCAAAGGGGAGUCCGCAGAAAGGAUUUCCUUUCUUCAGGUGCCGCAGCCGGUGACCACGUCUGGCCUCGACCUUCUCAGCAGCAGAUUGGGGUCCCGAAGCCCUUCUCUACAAGACUCCCGCAUCUUUCAGUGUGACAGCUUUGAUGUAAAUAGAUACGCACGCAUACACUUCGCUUGAAAUCGGUGGAGCAGCUCCUGGUAGCAAAGGCAAGGCUGUAAGUAUGCGC